CUCUCUAUAAUUUUGUAUUUAUAUCGCCGUCCAUUAGGUAAAAAUUAAACUUCUUAUCUUUUUCAGACUAAUCUUUAAAGUCAGGUCGAGAUAAAGCUUAUAUUAAAGCGAGCCGAGUUACAAAUUUUAAGAAAUUACAUCUUUUUAUUUAAAAAUGAAAAAACUCAGGAUUUGAAAGUAAUUAAAAAGUAAUUUUUCUUUAUGAAUAUUCAUAAAAGGCGUACAUAUCGCCCGUCACCCUCGUCCAAAGAUGAGGUAAGUCGUAACAAAGUUAAUGUACUGGAAAGUGUAUUAAGGG
rnacentral:rRNA from 1 species